AUUGAACGCUGGCGGCAGGCUUAACACAUGCAAGUCGAGCGGAGAUGAGGUGCUUGCACCUUAUCUUAGCGGCGGACGGGUGAGUAAUGCUUAGGAAUCUGCCUAUUAGUGGGGGACAACAUUCCGAAAGGAAUGCUAAUACCGCAUACGUCCUACGGGAGAAAGCAGGGGAUCUUCGGACCUUGCGCUAAUAGAUGAGCCUAAGUCGGAUUAGCUAGUUGGUGGGGGAAAGGCCUACCAAGGCGACGAUCUGUAGCGGGUCUGAGAGGAUGAUCGGCCACACUGGGACUGAGACACGGCCCAGACUCCUACGGGAGGCAGCAGUGGGGAAUAGUGGACAAUGGGGGAACCCUGAUCCAGCCAUGCCGCGUGUUUGAAGAAGUCCUUAUGGUUGUAAAGCACUUUAAGCGAGGAGGAGGCUACUGAGACUAAUACUCUUGGAUAGUGGACGUUACUCGCAGAAUAAGCACCGGCUAACUCUGUGCCAGCCGCCGCUGUAACAC
rnacentral:rRNA from 1 species